UAAAGUGCAGUCUGAAGCCUGAGGGAGGGCUUAGCUGGCUUGCCUCAGCAUUACAGUGUAAAGGGAGCCCAGGCUGGUGGGUCAGGUGGGCUCAGUGGUACCCAAGUUCCAAGUGGCCCCCCCCCGGGGGGGGGGGAGAGUCUGACACACAUCCCACUCCACAUUCUCCCUCUACCCCCCUGCCUUUUUCCCAGCAUUCCUGACUCCCAUCACACUCCUCCUUCCCCAGAUCUCUGACUCAUCCUCACUUCUAUCUUUCAGUCGCUCUCCAGAUUCUCCCCAGGCCAGUGCUCCCUGCAGCUUUUCUUUCCCAGGUGCCCUUGCGGCCCCAUCCCUGUCCCUGAACCCCCAGAAGCAGGAGUACUUCCCCGGAGACACUGUUGAAAUCAAGUGCUCUGCUCCUCCUUCGGUGGAUAGAGUUGAAGGAUUCCAGUACUACAGCAAUAUCGGAAGGGCCAUCUCAGUCCCAGCUUCAUCCAGGAGAAGCCAUACUUACAACAUAAACCUCACAGGGCCUAAGGAUGGGGGGUCGUACCAGUGCGACUACUGGAUAGGUCAAGCCGGUUCUUGGAACAGGUCCAGCAGGAGUGACGCUGUCCUCAUCAGAGUAAAAGACUUCCCUCCCUGGCCGGCGUUGAGUGUGGAUCCUCCGUCCGGAGUGGUGAGCGAAGGGCUCCCCCUGCUCAUCAUCUGCACGGCCCCCAGCAAUGCUAGUGAGCGAAGGUUUCACUUCUACAAGGAAGGAGCUGAGCUCAUCCCUGGGGACGUGGGGUCUGAGGUCAGCACCACAGAGACCAGGACCGGAUCUAUGAUGCUCAGCAUCCCGCGAGCUGGUCCCUACAGCGCCGGGGAAUUCACCUGUGCGUACGAGGAGAACAUGAGCGGGAGGUGGAUUCUGUCCCUAAGGAGCUUGGCUGUGAAUGUUACCAUGACAGGUGAAGUUGCCCCAGAGUCAGCAGUCUAAGAUAUACUUACUGCUUCCUGAAGGGGGCAAAAGUCAUGAACACACACACACGUGCACACACAGCAGCUCUCAUUCCUUCCAGCAGGGGGCAGCAAUCUCUCCCUCUCUCCCUCUUAAAAACACACAUACACACACUCUGAGCAGGGUUCAUCCCUUCCAGCAGGGGGCAGCAGCAGGACACACACACACACACACACACACAGCAGAGCUCAUUCACUGCAGCAGGGAUACAGCAGGAACACACACACACACACAUUGUGCACAUCCCCUACACGAGGGGGCAGCAGUGAUGCACACACACACACACACACACACACACACACACACACACACAUAUUGUGCUGGUCUCAUUCCCUCCAGAAGGGAGCAGCAGGGACACACACGCCUGCCAGUGUAAUAUUUCUUAGCAAUUUCCUCUUUUUUGCAGCACACAGCCAUUCCUGGGUCCGGGAGCUCGCUGUGGGUGGGUCCUUCUUCACCAUUAAUAGCCUCAUCUUCCUCAUCUCCCACCUCUGCACGAAGGGCAAAGGUAAUCGCACAUUUCCCUCCCCUCUCCCUGCUUUCGCAGGACCUUGGAGGAGCUUAAACAGAUGAACCCUGAAAUUUCUCCUCCUGAGUCUCACCUGGCCAAGAGGCUGCUGCUGUAGACAACACUGAGAAGAUACCUGUCACCAGCUACACCGUUAUAUCUCCUCUUCUGACCCCUCGGCUCCACCUGCUGAAAUGCAGCCACCUCUGCGGAGGGGCACCUGGGUAACCGCCACCCCUGUAACACUGCCUAGGAAUCCCCAAGGCUGAACGGCAGCUGCUUCUUGGGUGGGGCGUGGCAGCUGGCGGGCAGCUGCAGUGUAAUGCCACAGAGGGAUCGCUCCUCCAGAUGCAGCCAUCUCUGGGGCGGCCUGCGGCAGCUGUUUAGCAGCUGAAUGCAGAUGGGAGAGCACUGCAGGCCAGAAAGAAAUGUGAAUACAGAUUCCCAGGGAAGCUGUAGCAGCUCCUCAUC
ensembl:lncRNA